CGCACAGUGGCUUAGUGGUUAGCACGUUCGCCUCACACCUCCAGGGUCCAGGGGUUCGAUUCCUGCUGUGUGU